AGAGAAAUAAUGAAAGGUUAUAAUUAUCUUUUUAAAUAUUUACGUAUUUAUAUUUUAUGUUAUUUUCAAAAUUAUGAUGAAAAGCCUUUUAAACAAAAACCACUUAAAAAGCAGCCUCCCAACUAACUUAAGAUAAUAGAGUACGACUAUCAAUUACCUCGUUCACAGAGAACAGGAAGAAUAACGCAAUUAGACCUAGGGUUAGGGAAUCCAGUCCAUUAAACUCCUAAGAAUCGGAAAUAUUGUUCGAAAUCCAGAAAUCGAUUUUCGAUCGAUCAAAGAUGUGGCACGAGGCGAGGAGGUCGGAGAAGAAAGUGCAUGAAAUCCCAACUAACUUAAGGUAAUAGAGUACGACUAUCAAUUACCUCGUUCACAGAGAACAGGAAGAAUAACGCAAUUAGACCUAGGGUUAGGGAAUCCAGUCCAUUAAACUCCUAAGAAUCGGACUUAUUGUUCGAAAUCCAGAAAUCGAUUUUCGAUCGAUCAAAGAUGUGGCACGAGGCGAGGAGGUCGGAGAAGAAAGUGCAUGAAAUGAUGGACGCUGCUCGGAAGAGAGCGCAGCGCAGAGCUAUAUA
rnacentral:lncRNA from 1 species